GCUACACUAUGUUCAUGGAAAAAAUUGCCUUGAUCUCAGUAAAUACUCAGUAAGACUUUGGUUGUCUGAGAUAAACAAAACCAUUAGGAGCUGAUGAGCCACAGCUGUAGCGCCUGCAGAGAGCUCUAUUUAAGCCUCAGGUGCUGGUUGACCAUUCAGUUGUGGCAGGAACUAUGGGAGGAAUUUGGCUUCUGGGUUUUUGUGCAGUCGCCUUGUGGCUUAAAGGGUCUUGUUUACCUGUUGAUCAUAAUGGAGGAAUACACUAUGAACCAAAAGGGACUGGAAACUCCUUGUUCCAAAAUGAGAUUGCUCUAAUGAGAAAAGUUGCUUUACUCCAGUCAGUGGAUUCCAGGUUGCUGGGAACUUCAAAAGAAGCGCAACUGGAAACAAAUGAAGUGGAACGCGUGUCAAGCGACGCCUCCCACAACGUGUCAAGCGACGCCUCCCACAACGUGUCAAGCGACGCCUCCCACAACGUGUCAAGCGACGCCUCCCACAAC